GAUGAACGCUGGCGGCGUGCCUAAUACAUGCAAGUCGAGCGAACAGACGAGGAGCUUGCUCCUCUGACGUUAGCGGCGGACGGGUGAGUAACACGUGGAUAACCUACCUAUAAGACUGGGAUAACUUCGGGAAACCGGAGCUAAUACCGGAUAAUAUAUUGAACCGCAGUGGUCAAUAGUGAAAGACGGUUUUGCUGGCACUUAUAGAUGGAUCCGCGCCGGAUUAGAUAGUUGGUAAGGUAACGGCUUACCAAGGCAAGGAUGCGUAGCCGACCUGAGGGGGUGAUCGGCCACACUGGAACUGAGACACGGUCCAGACUCCUACGGGAGGCAGCAGUAGGGAAUCUUCCGCAAUGGGCGAAAGCCUGACGGAGCAACGCCGCGUGAGUGAUGAAGGUCUUCGGAUCGUAAAACUCUGUUAUUAGGGAAGAACAAAUGUGUAAGUAACUAUGCACGUCUUGACGGUACCUAAUCAGAAAGCCCCGGCUAACUACGUG
rnacentral:rRNA from 1 species